UUACGGCCGUAUCAAGUUGACACAUUGGAUCUCAUAUUAUCACUGAAGUUAAACAUCGUUGAGCCUAUUCUGAACAUAGAUGGGUAACCGCUUGGGAAUACCAGGUGCUGUAA